rnacentral:rRNA from 1 species
CCCUUAGAUGUUCUGGGCUGCACACGUGCUACACUGGCAGGUUCAGCGAGCUUCAUGCCCUGAUCUGAAAGGAAUGGGAAAUCUUUUCAAAACCUGCCGUGCUUGGGAUAGAUGUUUGCAAUUAUUCAUCUUCAACGAGGAUUGCCUUGUAAGCGCACGUCAUCAGCGUGCAUUGAAUACGACCCUGUAUUCUGUACACACCGCCCGUCGCUCCUACCGAUUGAAGUCUUCGGUGAGUUGACAGGAGGAUUUUUUUGAAACUGGUUCGCCAGUGGAUUUUAGAUCCAAAUGCCAACGAAUCGAUGGCUUUAGAGGAAGGAGAAGUCGUAACA